rfam:Ciona savignyi cont_36561, whole genome shotgun sequence.
GUCGUCGUGGUCGAGUUGUUAAGGCGACAGACUAGAAAUCUGUUGGGCUCUGCCCGCACAGGUUCGAAUUCUGUCGGCGACG